rnacentral:lncRNA from 12 species
UGGGGCUGCUGUUUGCGGGAAAAGUCUGUCUUCCUGGCUGAGGGAACGUUCCCAGGAGGGACAGCUGGGGUGUUCAAAGUUGAGACAGAAAGAGACGGCACUCAUUGAGAAGGGCCAACGAAAGGGGGUGGUGGUAUAUGUUUCAACCCGAAGGAUCGGGGCGUUGGAGUACACGUUGGAGCAGGCCCAUCCGGAAAGGACUGAGCGGAUCCACAGCGACUGCUUCCAGUACUACUUUACUUUGGAUUAUAGUUCAUUUAAGUUUGCAGAGUUUCACACAAUUGCGCCCCCUGCCUUUGUGGAGAGGAAAGACAAGAAACUGGUGGAGAAUGCGGGCAGCGACACAAUGGACCCGGCGCUCAGUCCAACCAGAGGGGCUACAACGGGACUCCAACAUUCUCUCUAGCGGCCCGAGAGCUGGUCGGGACACUGCACUGUUACAAAAGAGGGAAAGGAAAAAGGGAACAGUAUUAAGAACAAUUUUGCUCGCACGCUUCAUGAGGCGAACACUCCAGGACUGCCGGUCAGGACCCUGCAAGGCUGUGCCUCGCUGUUACACGCUCAGAUAUUGACGGACGCGUCUCUGAAUCUGACCUCAUACCAAAAUUAACUCCCGCCUGAGCUCACUUGAGUGUGAGGCGAGUUUAGUUCAAUCACGGGCGGAUGUAUUAGUGCUUCGACUUUACACCUGCUCAUCUCUUCUUGUUUUGAUCUCUGGGUUUGCAGAGCCCUUUAUUUGUUUGGUUUGAUUUGCUAAUGUGCCAUAAACCUGUUUUGUCGUAUGAAUGCUAAGGACACGAGUUGGGUUUAAGGGAGCAGUAUAUGCGGUAUAGCCAUUUCAGUAGGUGAAACACUACAGAUGUACAAAAAUGAACUCCUUACCUCAUUAUCUUGCGAUUCAGAAUUAUUUUUCCCCUCCCAUUACAAAAUAUGUGCCCUGUAAGUUAUGUUCUGCCUUGGUCACGGACGUUUCAUUCAAAUGCUGCGAUCAUGGCAAAUUAUUUAUCUGACACUGAAUAAAAAGGAGCUCAAGAAUGCGUGCGUGUUACAUUCGCUCUGUUUUUAAGCCGUUCCACUUUUUGGAAUGCAGAUGUACUUGUUGAGAGCGUCUCUACAGUGGAACAAAACCAGAAGUGUUUGUUUAUGAUGGAUGUGUGAUAUGAAGGUUACAUUUUGCCCACAAGCUGUUGUUUUUUCAUAAAUCUUCUCUAAGUGUGUGUUGUUUUAUUUGAAUGUGCUUUUUUUUUUUUUUUUUUUUUUUUGGUUUAAUCCACUUAAGAAAGGUCAUGCUCACAGUCGCCUUUACAUUCUUUACUAAAUCAAUUUCAUUAAUGCUUUGAAAGACUGCAUUUUCCUUGGAAACGUUCAUAUUCAUUAUAGGGAUGGCAAACAGAUAAAGUAUAUUUAUUCAAAUUUUAGAUGAUUCUCGUAAAUAUAUGGGGUAAAAGCAUACACUCUUGGAUCGAAGAAUUGAUAAAAAAUGUUUCUAAGAAAUUCCCUCCUGCAUUCAGGCAAGAUGUGUACAAUUGCUUUUGACAAAAGAUGUCACUCCGUAUCGCACUGGGACCUAAAUUAAUGUGAACUGUGAGAACGACGGUGGACCGCAGUGGACAGCUUGCGUGCUAAAGACUGCUUCUGCUUUGGAUAUUUUUGGAAACCCAUCAUAAAAUGGAAAAAAUAUUACAUAUAGGUAAAAAAAAAGCUAUUAUUUAAAAGGGAAGGAAACAAAUGUAUGAGUAACAGUAUUAUCUAUCAAAGGAUGUUAGCAGUCCUUGUGCACAGUUACUGUUAACAGAUCCGUAUUACUGGCAAGACAGCUGUUUUCUCUGCUACUCUUUGUUUCAGUAUCUCACUGUAUACAAUAAAGGCAUUAAAGAAGGCGAACUGCUUGAGUUCAACUGAGCUUUACUUCAUUAGGAAUCCAGCUGUAGCGAUUGCUCUACUUUCUAUCCUGAUGGGGAAAAAUCACCAAACUUUGCAUGCAUGAAGAAUCUGUGGCUAAUUGCAUUUUGUGUAAUAUUUGGAAGCAUGAGAUGUAUGGUUGCCUAGCAACUACUAGUUAAAUUUGCAAUAUUCAAAACAUCACCCGGGUUGAGCUAGAGAAAGAUUCUCUCACCAGGCUGCUUCUGCUCAUGGACCCUUUUUGUCAGUAUUUGACAUUGAAGUAAAACUAAAAAUCCCGAGAUUGCUGGUGUCAUUUUUGGAAGUGUACUUUUACAAGUUUUCAAAACUUAAAUGGAUUUGUUCAAUUAAAGUGUCAGACUGUCAAUGCAAUUCAAGGGAAUGUAACGUUAAAGGGUUCUUUAGCUUUUCCUCACAUUGCGUUUGCUGACAGGUUCUUGGAGGAGGGUUUUGGAAAGAGCUUGAAGAAAUAGAGUGAUCUGAUUUAACUCAAGUAGAUGUUUCUGAAAUCAUUUACUGAACCUUUAAAUAUGGAGCAUCCCUCAUACUAGCACUUCCUUGUAAAACAUGUUUUGCUAUGAGUUUAAAAAAUUGGAAUAAUUAAAAAAAAAAAUUCAGUCUUGUUAAAUGACUUCUCUUAAUGUUUACCAAGGCUGCAUUUCUGAUAGAUAUCAGAUAGAAAUCAUCAGAUAGAUAGAUAGAUAGAUACACUGUAAAAAAU